rnacentral:rRNA from 1 species
AACGUAGGAGACAAACGUUAUCCGGAGUUACUGGGCGUAAAGGGCGUGUAGGCGGUAUGUUAAGUCUGGCGUGAAAGCUCUCGGCUAAACCGGGAGAGGUCGUUGGAUACUGGCAAACUAGAGGAUGGUAGGGGCAGAUGGAAUUCCGGGUGUAGCGGUGGAAUGCGUAGAGAUCCGGAAGAACACCAGUGGCGAAGGCGGUCUGCUGGGCAGUUGCUGACGCUGAUGCGCGAAAGCGUGGGGAGCGAUCCGG